rnacentral:rRNA from 1 species
CAGCAGCCGCGGUAAUACGUAGGGGGCAAGCGUUGUCCGGAUUUAUUGGGCGUAAAGAGCGUGUAGGCGGCUUGGUAGGUCCGUUGUGAAAACUCGAGGCUCAACCUCGAGACGUCGAUGGAAACCAUCUAGCUAGAGUCCGGAAGAGGAGAGUGGAAUUCCUGGUGUAGCGGUGAAAUGCGCAGAUAUCAGGAAGAACACCCGUGGCGAAGGCGGCUCUCUGGGACGUGACUGACGCUGAGACGCGAAAGCGUGGGGAGCGAACAGGAUUAGAUACCCUGGUAGUCCACGCCGUAAACGAUGGGUGCUAGGUGUGGGCGGUGUCGACUCCGUCCGUGCCGAAGCUAACGCAUUAAGCACCCCGCCUGGGGAGUACGGCCGCAAGGCUAAAACUCAAAGGAAUUGACGG